rnacentral:misc_RNA from 1 species
UUGGCAUCAGGGGAAUACUCUGUACAAACUGGAGUGAUUGUUGUGUCGUCUUUUGCCAUUUUGAGUUUUUGGCUUGGAUGGAUCGUUGGUUCCUGGCCUUUAUUUUGGGCGCUUUUCAUCAGUUUUGUACUGGGAACUGCCUAUUCAAUAAAUCUACCACUUUUGAGAUGGAAGAGAUUUGCUGUGGUUGCUGCAAUGUGCAUCUUUGCUGUACGAGCGGUGAUAGUUCAGAUAGCUUUUUAUUUGCAUAUUCAGACUUAUGUAUAUAAAAGAGCAGCUGUCCUUUCAAGACCUUUAAUAUUUGCAACAGCAUUUAUGAGUUUUUUCUCAGUUGUUAUAGCAUUAUUCAAGGACAUACCUGAUAUUGUUGGUGACAAGAUCUUUGGAAUUCAAUCUUUUACUGUCCGCUUGGGUCAAGAGAGGGUCUUUUGGAUUUGUAUUGGUCUACUUGAAAUGGCUUAUCUUGUUGCCAUCGUAGUGGGUGCAGCAUCUUCCAACACCUGGAGCAAAUAUUUUACUAUUCUGGGUCAUUCUGCUUUGGCUCUUUUACUUUGGACUCGUGCCAAAUCAGUCGACUUCAGUAGUAAAGCAGCAAUAACAUCCUUUUACAUGUUCAUAUGGAAGCUUUUUUAUGCAGAGUAUCUGCUCAUACCGCUCGUGAGGUGAAUGAAUGUACAAGCCUCUCAACUUUCACUGGAAGUGGUAAAGUUCUCCUAGACUUUGAAAAUUAUUCUAAUUCUGGUAAAUGUAAUUUUG